rnacentral:rRNA from 1 species
ACCUACGGCCAUACCACCCUGAACAUGCCCAAUCUCGUCUGACCUCGGAAGGUAAGCAGGGUCGGGCCUGGUUAGUACUUGGAUGGGAGACCUCCUGGGAAUACCGGGUGCUGUAGGCU